rnacentral:rRNA from 1 species
CUGGGCGUAAGCGCACGCAGGCGGUCUGUCAAGUCGGAUGUGAAAUCCCCGGGCUCAACCUGGGAACUGCAUUCGAAACUGGCAGGCUAGAGUCUUGUAGAGGGGGGUAGAAUUCCAGGUGUAGCGGUGAAAUGCGUAGAGAUCUGGAGGAAUACCGGUGGCGAAGGCGGCCCCCUGGACAAAGACUGACGCUCAGGUGCGAAAGCGUGGGGAGCAAACAGGAUUAGAUACCCUGGUAGUCCACGCCGUAAACGAUGUCGACUUGGAGGUUGUGCCCUUGAGGCGUGGCUUCCGGAGCUAACGCGUUAAGUCGACCGCCUGGGGAGUACGGCCGCAAGGUUAAAACUCAAAUGAAUUGACGGGGGCCCGCACAAGCGGUGGAGCAUGUGGUUUAAUUCGAUGCAACGCGAAGAACCUUACCUACUCUUGACAUCCAGAGAACUUUCCAGAGAUGGAUUGGUGCCUUCGGGAACUCUGAGACAGGUGCUGCAUGGCUGUCGUCAGCUCGUGUUGUGAAAUGUUGGGUUAAGUCCCGCAACGAGCGCAACCCUUAUCCUUUGUUGCCAGCGGUUAGGCGGGAACUCAAAGGAGACUGCCAGUGAUAAACUGG